GGACGGUCCUGGCAGGCAGCUCGGGAGGCCACCCGCGCCGCAAUAAAAGCCUCUCGCGGCUUCCCGCCCAGCCAGCCUCGCUCUGAUUGGUCGCCACGGGAGGGACCGAGUUGGCUGGAGGCGGCGGCGAGCGCUGCUCCCGGGCGGCCCGCGGAGGGGACGCACUGGGUGCUCCCCGGCCCGCCCUGCGCGCUCCCCGCCCGGCCCGGCUGCCCGCGGCAGAAUUGUUUCCUGCCAGCGGCUGCCGAGCUGCGUUCACGCGCUGAUCGGAGAAUGAGUGACAGUCCCAGCCUCAGCACACUCGCAACUCAGAGAUCCUUGCGCUGGCCCGGGUUCGCUUUGAUGGAACUGGGGAUGGGAGCGGGGGGCGGGGGUGAGAACCUCACUGUGUCCUUCCACCACGCCGGCCACAAAUAGUGCCGAACAUCAAGGAGCACCCCUGCCCUGUGUAGCUGUUGAUCUCUGUUGUAAUGACUCAUUGUAGAAUUCCGCCCCAGUUACUCCAGUCUGCACUCCUGGUAUCUCUCCCAUGUUCUUAUAGCAGAAUGCACCGCUUGUUUCCAACUCUUCAGCUCUGCUCUGUGACACAUUUCAGUCCUCCUUGAACCUCACUUUAAAAUGAGAUGAAACUAUGGCUCUCUGCGGACCUCUUUCUCCGGAAAGACUCCCGGGCUGUCAGGCACACAUCAGUGGGCAUCUACCAUGUGAACGCCCUCAGGGUCAAAGCAGAAGAAGAAACACCCAGACUGUGCUAGAGAGAAAGGGCUGUUAGUAAAAGAAGAGUGUGAUCUAAGAAGACGGUCACAGCAAGGAAACCAGCAAAGAGCCCAGGACAGUUCUCAGCCUGCCGAUGCAGGCUGUAAUCUAUGGCAGGGGCGGUGGGAAAGGGAACAAACUGGAGCACGGACCUGAGAAAUAUUUCCAAGAUAAAAAUGGUAGAACUUCUGAACUUUCCAAAGAUUUGUGUCACAGGCAGAGAAAGAAAUCCAAAUUCCUUUCAUUCAUUCCACAAAGAUUUAUUGAGCAUUAACUAAAUACCUGGUACUGUUCUAGAUGCUGGAGAUUGUAGCCAUGAACAAGAGCAGGUCUUCACUUUCAUACGCUUCCACUCUUAUGGAGAAGACACACAAUAAAUCACUAAAUGUCUAGUAUACACACAGCAAUAAGUGCCAAAGAUGCCAGUAAAGAGACGUAAGGAGAUAGGGAGUUCUGAGGUGAGGAGGAAUCACCUUUUGGAACAGGGGAGAACAGAGACAGAAGGAGAUGGCUCCAAAACUUCCAGUGGGAGAAACUAAAGCUCCUUGUGACAAGGUCAGGGAGUAGAAGAGAAA
rnacentral:lncRNA from 1 species